AUACGUAGGUGACAAGCGUUAUCCGGAUUUACUGGGCGUAAAGGGCGUGUAGGCGGUCUUGCAAGUCAGAAGUGAAAUUCCUGAGCUCAACUCGGGCGCUGCUUCUGAAACUGCAGGACUUGAGUGCUGGAGGGGAUAGCGGAAUUCCUAGUGGAGCGGUAAAAUGCGCAGAUAUUAGGAAGAACACCGGAGGCGAAGGCGGCUAUCUGGACAGUAACUGACGCUGAGGCGCGAAAGCGUGGGGAGCAAACAGGAUUAGAUCCCCUGGUAGUCCACGCCGUAAACGAUGAAUACUAGGUGUAGGGGGUAUCGACUCCCUCUGUGCCGCAGUUAACACAAUAAGUAUUCCGCCUGGGGAGUACGGCCGCAAGGUUGAAACUCAAAUGAAUUGACGGGG
rnacentral:rRNA from 1 species